rnacentral:lncRNA from 1 species
CCUCAGGCACUCGGCAAACUUCCUGUUUCCGGUAGUGCAUCUCUUUGUAACGAUCGGUUGAAUGAAUGAAAAGCUACCGUUUGUCACAAAAAAAUUGUUUGCAUUUCAUUCCUCUUGGUGGUUAUCCUUGUUUUGCACCUUAGCCUUCUGCCGAUGCCAUCCUGCAGCCCUUCGUCACCGCAAUCUUGUCCUCGCACCUCACACUAUUUUCACUCUCUCUCCAC